CUUCGGCUCCUCUUUAGGGCAAGGGUGUUUCGGUAAGGUAACAACAAGUGGAGAAGAAUUUCAGGAGGUGAAGUUCUGUUCUAUUCUGUGGUGUAUAUUUCUUGAUCACCUGAGAUGUUAUCUUCAUCUGAUCAGUGGGAAGGAUUUUAGCAGUGAGGCUCUAUUACUGUGAUGCUGGAAUUGUGAUUAUUGAGGUGUUAUCCAGCAACUUUCCCUAACCGGUAGCAACAUCUUUGAUUGUGAUCUAUUGGUGAUCACCUUGGAUUUGGUGGACACAGGACGUUGACGAGAGACGAGCAUCUUGACGUUGGAUUUGACUGGAUUGGAUCUACAGUU